CUGUUGACUAUUUAUGCAGAAAUGUGGGUGUAAACACUCUGAUAUGAAUACAUUUGUAUUAUGUGCGCAUAUUUUCCUGUUUAGUUGCUCGUUCUAAAUAUUACAGGCAAUAUUAGUUCUUUGAGUAGGGUGCGUUUGCGCGGAGCUGCCAUUUUUUUGUUUUCAAAUCAAAAACUUGAAAAAGUCGGCGAGAGCGUGGUCGUUAGUUGGUGGUAGUGGCAAUUGGGUUUUCCUGUCCAUCUGCUCGUUCUUUACUAAAAAGUUAACAUCCAAAGCGUGCAAAUUCCAGCAACGAGGUGCAACAUGGGUUCGAGUAAUGUUUUCGUUGGUCUUCCCGAGGCUCCCAGUGCAGGCAAAAACCUGAAAGGACAUGCCCACGCUGACAUAUUUGGAAGCACAGAGCAGACCGUAACACCCAGGAAAAUGUACGCCUCAAAGUCGACGAUCCAAGACAUUUUAACCCAAGAAACCGAUAACAAAGUGGAAAAAAACGGCAAUUCGCAGCCAGAAGAGAGUAAGACUGAUGAAAACACUUCCGAGCCAGUGCAAACCCCAGUCCGUGUGCGAAUGCCCCCAGGUGGGCACUCGUCCGGAUUUUGGUGAUUCCGUGCCAUUCAUUUUUGUAUUGUGUGCUUUAAAAGCGAGUUGUAAUUUUUCAAAAAUAAAAGUCGUCUUUGCUUAAUAA